rnacentral:rRNA from 1 species
GACGAACGCUGGCGGCGUGCCUAAUACAUGCAAGUUGAGCGCUGAAGGUUGGUACUUGUACCAACUGGAUGAGCAGCGAACGGGUGAGUAACGCGUGGGGAAUCUGCCUUUGAGCGGGGGACAACAUUUGGAAACGAAUGCUAAUACCGCAUAAAAACUUUAAACACAAGUUUUAAGUUUGAAAGAUGCAAUUGCAUCACUCAAAGAUGAUCCCGCGUUGUAUUAGCUAGUUGGUGAGGUAAAGGCUCACCAAGGCGAUGAUACAUAGCCGGCCUGAGAGGGUGAUCGGCCACAUUGGAACUGAGACACGGCCCAAACUCCUACGGGAGGCAGCAGUAGGGAAUCUUCGGCAAUGGACGAAAGUCUGACCGAGCAACGCCGCGUGAGUGAAGAAGGUUUUCGGAUCGUAAAACUCUGUUGGUAGAGAAGAACGUUGGUGAGAGUGGAAAGCUCAUCAAGUGACGGUAACUAACCAGAAAGGGACGGCUAACUACGU